CUUGCCGGAGGUAGAGCUACUGGAUGGCCGAUGGGCCCCAACAGGUUACUGACGUCAGCCAAACUCCGAAUGCCGGUAAGUGUAAGCGCAGCAGUGAGACUGCGGGGGAUAAGCUUCGUAGUCGAGAGGGAAACAGCCCAGACCACCGGCUAAGGCCCCUAAGCGUGUGCUAAGUGGGAAAGGAUGUGGAGUUGCACAGACAACCAGGAGGUUGGCUUAGAAGCAGCCACCCUUGAAAGAGUGCGUAAUAGCUCACUGGUCAAGUGAUUCUGCGCCGACAAUUUAGCGGGGCUCAAGCACACCGCCGAAGCCGUGGCAUCAGCACAUGUCCCCAGCUUCCUCCCUCGUGGGGGUUGUUCAGGGGUGUUGAUGGGUAGGGGAGCGUCGUGUGGGAGGUGAAGCUGCGGGGUGACCCAGUGGUGGAUCCCACACGAGUGAGAAUGCAGGCAUGAGUAGCGAAAGACGGGUGAGAAACCCGUCCGCCGAAUGACCAAGGGUUCCAGGGCCAGGUUAAUCCGCCCUGGGUAAGUCGGGACCUAAGGCGAGGCCGACAGGCGUAGUCGAUGGACAACGGGUUGAUAUUCCCGUACCGGCGAAACACCGCCCAUACCGAGCCCGGUGAUGCUAACCGCCCAACGCUCACGUGUUGCCCUUCGGGGCGCAUGUGAGCCGCGCGCGGAACCCGAACCGGUAGUAGGUAAGCGUAUUAACAGGGGUGACGCAGACAGGUAGCCUCCGCGUGCUUUAUGGCUAUGCACGUCCAAGGGAGCAGGGCGAGGUCCAGGCAAAUCCGGGCCUCACACAAGCCUCAGACCCGAUGGUGACCGCGAACGCGGGAAGCAGGGUGAUCCUAUGCUGCCAAGAAAAGCCUCGACGCGAGGUGUUAGCCGCCCGUACCCUAAACCGACUCAGGUGGUCAGGUAGAGUAUACCAAGGCGAUCGAGAUAAUCAUGGUUAAGGAACUCGGCAAAAUGCCCCCGUAACUUCGGGAGAAGGGGGGCCUGAGGGGUGAAGCCACUUGCUGGCUAGCCUUUGAGGGCCGCAGAGACCAGGGAGAAGCGACUGUUUACUAAAAACACAGGUCCGUGCGAAGUCGCAAGACGAUGUAUACGGACUGACGCCUGCCCGGUGCUGGAAGGUUAAGAGGACGGGUCAGCUCAACUUCGGUUGGGCGAAGCUCAGAAUUUAAGCCCCAGUAAACGGCGGUGGUAACUAUAACCAUCCUAAGGUAGCGAAAUUCCUUGUCGGGUAAGUUCCGACCUGCACGAAUGGCGUAACGACUUCUCCGCUGUCUCAACCGUGAACUCGGCGAAAUUGCACUACGAGUAAAGAUGCUCGUUACGCGCAGCAGGACGGAAAGACCCCGGGACCUUUACUAUAGCUUGGUAUUGGUGUUCGGGACGGCUUGUGUAGGAUAGGUGGGAGACUGUGAAGCAGCCACGCCAGUGGUUGUGGAGUCAUCGUUGAAAUACCACUCUGGUCGUUCUGGACAUCUAACCUCGGUCCGUAAUCCGGAUCAGGGACAGUGCCUGGUGGGUAGUUUAACUGGGGCGGUUGCCUCCCAAAAUGUAACGGAGGCGCUCAAAGGUUCCCUCAGCCUGGUUGGCAAUCAGGUGGCGAGUGUAAGUGCACAAGGGAGCUUGACUGUGAGACUGACAGGUCGAGCAGGGACGAAAGUCGGAACUAGUGAUCCGGCGGUGGCUUGUGGAAGCGCCGUCGCUCAACGGAUAAAAGGUACCCCGGGGAUAACAGGCUGAUCUUGCCCAAGAGUCCAUAUCGACGGCAUGGUUUGGCACCUCGAUGUCGGCUCGUCGCAUCCUGGGGCUGGAGUAGGUCCCAAGGGUUGGGCUGUUCGCCCAUUAAAGCGGUACGCGAGCUGGGUUUAGAACGUCGUGAGACAGUUCGGUCCCUAUCCGCUGCGCGCGCAGGAAACUUGAGAAGGCCUGUCCCUAGUACGAGAGGACCGGGACGGACGAACCUCUGGUGUGCCAGUUGUUCCGCCAGGAGCACGGCUGGUUGGCUACGUUCGGAAGGGAUAAC
rnacentral:rRNA from 1 species